rnacentral:rRNA from 1 species
AUUGAACGCUGGCGGCAGGCCUAACACAUGCAAGUCGAACGAGUGGCGGACGGGUGAGUAAUGUCUGGGAAACUGCCCGAUGUAGGGGGAUAACUACUGGAAACGGUAGCUAAUACCGCAUACCAUCGGAUGUGCCCAGGUGGGAUUAGCUAGUGGGUGGGGUAACGGCUCACCUAGGCGACGAUCCCUAGCUGGUCUGAGAGGGUGACCGGCCACACUGGAACUGAGACACGGUCCAGACUCCUACGGGAGGCAGCAGUGGGGAAUAUUGCACAAUGGGCGAAAGCCUGAUGCAGCCAUGCCGCGUGAGUGAAGAAGGCCUUCGGGUUGUAAAGUGCUUUCAGCGGGGAAGCGGUACCCGAAGAGGAAGCAACGGCUAACUCCGUGCCAGCAGCCGCGGUAAUUC